UACGGGGGAGCAAGCGUUGUUCGGAUUUACUGGGCGUAAAGGGCGCGUAGGCGGCCACCGCAAGUCGACUGUGAAAUCUCCGGCUUAACCCGGAAAGGUCAGCCGAUACUGCGGGCUAGAGUGCAGAAGGGGCAACUGGAAUUCUCGGUGUAGCGGUGAAAUGCGUAGAUAUCGGAGGAACACCAGUGGCGAAGGCGGCGACCUGGGCCAAUACUGACGCUCAGGGCGAAAGCGUGGGGAGGCAAACCGGG
rnacentral:rRNA from 1 species